ensembl:lncRNA
CUUUUUUCCUUCCCAGGCUGGAAUCUUCCUUCCGCCUUGCUGUGCUGUGGGGAGCAGCUGGAGGCGAUUCUCUUGCAUGAGCGAGGGGUGCAGCCUGGUUCCACCCGGCCCUGAGCUCACGGAAGGGCUGGCUGCCCGCAGGGAAGGAGCUCUGCUUGAGGUCUGCUCCUGGGUGGGCUUUUGUGUGCCCUGUUCCUCAGGAAGGGGUAAGCAAGACUCGGGGGAGAAAGCGUUGUGCUUGAUGGCACGGUUUCCUUGGGCAAAGGAUGCUUUGGCAGCAGAGGUUUGCUGUCAGGAGGCAUGAAAGCACUGAAGCCAAUGCUGCCGUGCCCUGGGCCCAGAGACAUCAGCUCCCAGCACGUCCCUGGCGGUGGAUGUGUGCAAGCUCUGUGUCUGCCAGUGGUUGCUGCAAAGGCUUUGUGGUCAGCUGUGCGUGGCUGUUUUGCUCUUGAGGGCGUGGGAACAGAGGGCAACACGCUGAUGGGAGUGAUGGUGUCCUGCUCAGCAAUGGAUGUGCUGGGUGGCAGAAGAGGAUUCUUGGCCGAGCGUGGAAAAUCUCUCUGCUCCUUCCUGAAGAAAAGCUCAGACAGCCGAGCCAAGCGAGACGCUGGAUUUCCUUUGGCAUCAAGGAAAGCAUCGUGAGAUGUUCUGAUGCCCUCUCACAAUUCUUUCUCCCUCCACCAGCACCAGAGCUGGCGUCCAAAGACGCAAUGACACUGCCACAGGCAUUGUGGAGAUUUGUAUGGGAUAGGGCCAUGGUAAGGCUUUAUUGACAGAGGGAGGG